rnacentral:sRNA from 1 species
GAUUCUCAAGUGCAACCUGGCCGAGGGCCACAAAAAGUUUAGCUAAGGGAGGCUUCAGUGAGAAGCAGCACCCCCUUGGGGACACAGCCUGCACUGUGGAAAUGCCAACUCUCUCCCCUUGCCUGAGUGAAGAGCUGUUAGAUCCAGAAUUGCAUGUUCUCAUAACCCCCAGCCUGAGAGAGAAAACAGAGUCUGAGCUAAAGUUUGAGGAGGAUGAGCGAUGGAUUAUGAUGGAGGCUGAGGGAGAGUGGGAGGAAGAGAAACUGUCAGACAGGGAAAAGACUUUUCUGAUGGCAGAUGAGAAGAACAGCCUGGCAGAUAUUUUUGAAGAAAGAGAACAAGCAAACACAGCACUGGUGGAGGAUGGAUCCGAUUGCUUAGCUGCUGUCUUGAGGACUUUUGGCCAUCUAUCUCUUGGUCAGAUUUGUUGCCCUGAUGACCCACAGCCAGCCAAGGACAAGUUGGCUACUGUUCCCAAGGAUAUACCCCUGGAUUGCGAUUGUGUUCUUACAGGUGAGGAUAUUCUCGGUGAGGUGGCAAACAGAACUGCUCAGGGGUUAGAGGGACUUGUUUCAGAUUCAGCAUGUACUGUGGGUACUAUUGAUGCAGAACAGCUCUCUGACACAGACUCAGUGCAGAUGUUUCUUGAACUUGAAAAGAAGUGUUUAUGUGAAGAAGGAGUAACUCCUCUAGUUGAGCUACAGAAUCAAACCUCUUCUGAAGGGCUGGCUGCAUCCCAGGAUGCAGAAAAUUUAUUUGUAAUUAGUCAUUUUUCAGGGGCUGCCUUAGAAAAGGAACAGCAUUUAGGCCUUUUACAUGUAAGGGCAAAAGAUUAUGAUACUGGAUUGGAUUGUGGAUAUUUUAAUACCCUGGAUUCUUCUCAGGUGCCUAAUGCUGUGGAACUUGUUGCCCACGUUGAUAUCAUGAGAGACACUUCCACUGUUAGCAAGGAGGAAUGUGAAAAAGUGCCUUUUAGCCCCAGGAUUGCAGAAUUUAAGUCCAGACAGCCAGCUGAUCUGGAUUCACUGGAAAAGCUGGACCCAGGAGGACUGCUGAACUCUGAUCACAGGGCUUCUCAUGAAGAAAAAUUAUCAGGCUUCAUUGCUUCUGAGCUGGCCAAAGACAAUGGCAAUUUGUCCCAGGGAGACUGCAGUCAAACUGAGGGGAAUGGUGAGGAGUGCAUUGAGAGGGUCACCUUCAGUUUUGCUUUUAAUCAUGAACUAACAGAUGUUACCUCAGGACCUGAAGUAGAGGUGUUAUAUGAAUCAAAUUUACUAACAGAUGAAAUUCAUUUGGAAAGUGGGAAUGUAACUGUUAAUCAAGAAAAUAACAGUCUGACAUCAAUGGGAAAUGUGGUCGCUGGUGAAUUGUCGGUGGAGAAAGUUUGUGAUGAGGAUGGUGAGGCAAAAGAGCUGGAUUAUCAAGCCAUGCUUUUGAAGGAUCGAGCUCCAGCACAUUUCCACAGAAACUUCCCAGAGCAGGUCUUCCAGGAUCUCCAGAGGAAGUCCCCAGAGUCAGAGAUUCUGAGUCUGCACCUGCUGAUUGGAGAACUGAGACUUAAUCCAGAUGGAGUGGAAACUGUGAGUGAUACAAAGCCUGAGCUGAAUGUGGCAUCAUCAGAGGGACGGGAGAUGGAAAGGAGAGAUUCAGAUUCAUUCCUAAAUAUUUUUCCAGAGAAACAAGUUACCAAGGCUGGUAAUACUGAACCAGUUUUAGAGGAAUGGAUACCCAUCCUCCAGAGGCCUUCCCAGACUGCUGCAGUGCCCACUGUCAAAGAUGCCCUAGAUGCUGCACUGCCCAGCCCAGAGGAGGAUACCUCAAUUGCUGCAGUGCCUGCCCCAGAGGGAACUGCUGUAGUUGCUGCUAUAGUGCCCUUUUCACAUGAGGACAUCCUAGUUGCUUCAAUAGUCUCCUUAGAGGAGGAGGAUGUCACAGCUGCUGCAACAUCAGCCCCAGAGAGGGCUACUGUCCCAGCUGUUACAGUGUCUGUCCCUGAAGGGACUGCUGCAGUUGCUGCAGUGUCCUCCCCAGAGGAGACUGCUCCAGCUGUUGCAGCAGCCAUCACACAGGAGGGUAUGUCAGCUGUCGCAGGGUUCUCCCCAGAGUGGACUGCUCUAGCUAUUGCAGUACCCAUCACAGAGGAGGAUGGUACACCAGAAGGGCCUGUCACCCCAGCUACCACAGUGCAUGCUCCAGAGGAGCCUGAUACUGCAGCUGUUAGAGUGUCCACCCCAGAGGAGCCGGCCUCCCCAGCUGCUGCAGUGCCCACCCCAGAGGAGCCCACCUCCCCAGCUGCUGCAGUGCCCACCCCGGAGGAGCCCACCUCCCCAGCUGCUGCAGUGCCCACCCCAGAGGAGCCCACCUCCCCAGCUGCUGCAGUGCCCACCUCAGAGGAAUCUGCCUCCCUAUCUGCUGCAGUGCCCACCACAGAGGAAUCUGCUUCCCCAGCUACUGCAGUGCCCACCCCAGAGGAAUCUGCCUCCCCAUCUGCUGCAGUGCCCACCCCAGAGGAAUCUGCCUCCGCAGCUGCUGCAGUGCCCACCCCAGAGGAAUCUGCCUCUGCAGCUGCUGCAGUGCCCACCCCAGAGGAAUCUGCCUCCGCAGCUGCUGCAGUGCCCACCCCAGAGGAAUCUGCCUCCCCUGCAGCUACAGUGCCCACCCCAGCAGAAUCUGCCUCCUUUGCAGCUGUGGUGGCCACCCUGGAGGAACCCACUUCCCUGGCAGCUUCAGUGCCCACCUCUGAGGAGCCUGCCUCCCCAGCAGCUGCAGUGUCCAACUUAGAGGAGCCAGCCUCCCCAGCAGCAGCAGUGACCACCCUAGAGGAACCCACCUCCUCAGCAGCUGCAGUGCUCACCCUAGAGGAACUCACUUCCCCAGCAGCUUCAGUGCCCACCCCUGAGGAGCCUGCCUCCCCAGUAGCUGCAGUGUCCAACUUAGAGGAGCCAGCCUCCCCAGCAGCAGCAGUGCCCACCCCAGAGGUGGCUGCCAUCCCUGCUGCUUCAGUGCCCACCCCAGAGGUGCCUGCCAUCCCAGCUGCUGCAGUGCCUCCUAUGGAGGAAGUUUCCCCCAUUGGUGUGCCCUUCCUGGGAGUUUCUGCCCACACUGACUCAGUGCCUAUUUCAGAAGAAGGAACUCCUGUUCUAGAGGAGCCUUCCUCCACUGGAAUGUGGAUCAAGGAGGACCUUGAUUCCCUAGUAUUUGGCAUAAAAGAGGUGACCAGCACAGUGCUACAUGGGAAAGUGCCUCUGGCUGCAACCGCUGGAUUAAAUUCAGAUGAGGUAAUUGUUGUCCAUUUUGAUUCUGGGAAGGGUCUAAAGAGUAAAUUGAUAUUUGCAAGGCUGACCUGGUAGUGAUGAGAAAUGGCACAGAUAGUUCUUUUGUUCUUUUUGGGUCUCCUGGGCUUAUAGUUUGUAGUCUUUCUGUUGAGUUUUUGGGGAAAAUAUACUUUAAUUUUGUCUGGUGAAAAACUUUAUAAUUUCAUGCUUCGUUUUUAUUCAGAUAAGCCAAUCCCAAGGAAAACAGGGAUAUAAACAGUUGUUGAUUUACAUUUUUAAAAAGAUUAUUAGCAGGAAAGGGUGAUUCUGCUUUUGAAUUAUACAGUGAGCAUGUUCUUUCCUAAACCAAGAGACAGUUUAUUCAUUGGUGGUGUCAACAUUUAGGUAGAGGCCAGAGUGUGAGCUUUGGAAUGAGACCUGGGGUGCUUCCUAACCACUCUGGGAAAAUUAGUUAGCUAUUCUUGAAUUUCCUGUUUCUUCAUUUGUUAAGGCAUAACUCUGUGAGGAUAAAAUGAGAUACAUUUAAGGUACCAAGCGUAUAAGAUUACCAAUCACUGGCCAUAUCCUCCCCAUUCUUUUCAAAUAGGUAUGUUGGUUAGUUGAAAGAAUUUACCAAAGCAGAUUGGGGAGAAGCAAUAAAGCUAAAUGAUUAAGAACUUGUAAAUGCAAAUGUGUGUUUGUGAAAACCAGAGCUAGGCAUAAUGUUUAUGAAAAAUAGAGAUAUUUUAGUCAUCUUUGUCAAACUGCCUUUGUGUCCUUAAGCAAGUCACUUUCCUUUCCAGGACCUCUUGUUUCUUUAUUAUAAAACAUUGGGCUAAAUGUCCUCUUGGGUCUCUCUUGGCUCUAAGAUUCUUUUUUUUUUUUUUUUUUUUUUUUAGAUGGAGUCUGGCUCUGUCGCCCAGGCUGGAGUGCUAGAGUGCAGUGGUGCAAUCUCGGCUCACUGCAAGCUCCACCUCCCGGGUUCACGCUAUUCUCCUGCCUCAGCCUCCCGCGUAGCUGGGACUACAGGCGCCCACCACUAUGCCCGGCAAUUUUUUGUAUAUAUAUAUAUUUUUUUUUAGUAGAGACAGGUUUCACUGUGUUAGCCAGGAUGGUCUCGAUCUCCUGACCUCGUGAUCUGCCCGCCUCGGCCUCCCAGAGUGCUGGGAUUACAGGCGUGAGCCACCGCCCCUGGCUGGCUCUAAGAUUCUUCAUGUUAGAGAACCGAAUGUGUUAGGAAACAGUUGGAAACGAUGUUCCACAUCCUUGAGCACUCCUAGUCCAAGGAAUUUGAGAUCAGCAGCUUUCCACAGUUAAUUACCCAGGUUUGAUUUGGUCAGUGGUAAAGAGUGCAGGAGUUAGAGGUUUAAUCUGAACACAAGAGAUGACUGAGUGAGAAGAUUGUUUUGAUUUUACUGCAACCCUAGGACUCAAAAUAGUGCCUUCUUCAUAGCAGGCAUUUGCUGUUGACUGACUGACUGACUGAAUGCGUGAAUAUCAAUUUCCUAGAGUGUGGAUGGAUGCUACAAGAAAGAUGGGUUUUCUCAUUCACCUCAUUGCAGAUCCUUUCAGGGCAGCCUUAAGUCAGCUAGAGCACCAGUUAAACAUACAGGUCCUGACAACAAAAUCAUUUUGAUUGCCUGCCAUAAGCUCUUUGAUUAAGAGGAUUGAUUAAGAUAAUCUGGCCUUGCUGAGUGGUGGUGGUUUUACCUUGAGUUUUACCAUUUAUUUUGUCAGGUAGCAUUCCAUUAAAUUAGGAUGCAUCAUCUUUGAGACUGAUGGAUUUUUGAUUCAUUUUUCCAAGUUUUAUUGAAUUUGGAAUGACGCUGAGAUCCCAAUAGCCUGUACAAAGUGAAGACAGUAGGUCAACAACAGAGCCAUUCUUGAUAAUACAGAAUAUUUCACCAGGCACAGUGGCUCACACCUCUAAUCCCAACAUUUGGGAAGCCAAGGGAAGAGGAUUGCUUGAGGCCAGGAGUUCGAGAACAGCCUAGGCAACAUAGUAAGACCCCAUCUCUGAG